rnacentral:lncRNA from 1 species
CUUGGCCCCAUAGAAAUGGGGGCAUAGACCCCAUAGCCCCAUAGAUAUGGGGCAGGACCCCCAAACCCCAUAGAAAUGAGGGCAUAGACCCCAUAGCCCCAUAGACAUGGGGCAGGACCCCAAGACCCCAUAGAUAUGAGGGGGGAUCCCAAAGCCCCAUAGAUAUGGGGGGGGACCCCAUAGCCCCAUAGAUAUGGGGACAUAGACCCCAAAGCCCCAUAGAAAUGGGGUAGGACCCCCAAACCCCAUAGAAACGGGGGCAUAGACCCCAUAGCCCCAUAGAAAUGGGUGGGGACCCCAAAGCCCCAUAGAUAUGGAAGCAUAGACCCCAUAGCCCCAUAGAUAUGGGGGGGACCCCAAAACCCCAUAGAAAUGGGGGCAUAGACCCCAUAGCCCCAUAGAUAUGGGGAGGGACCCCAAAACCCCAUAGAAAUGGAGGCAUAGACCCCAUAGCCCCAUAGAUAUGGGGGGGAUCCCAAAGCCCCAUAGAUAUGGGGCAGGACCCCAAAACCCCAUAGAUAUGGAGGCAUAGACCCCAUAGCCCCAUAGAAACGGGGGCAUAGACCCCAUAGCCCCAUAGAUAUGAGGGGGGACCCCAAAACCCCAUAGAAACGAGGGCAUAGACCCCAUAGCCCCAUAGAUAUGGGGCAGGACCCCCAAACCCCAUAGAAAUGGGGGUCACCCCAUAACCCCAUAGAUAUGGGGGUCACCCCAUAACCCCAUAGAUAUGGGGGUCACCCCAUAACCCCAUAGAUAUGGGGGUCACCCCAUAACCCCAUAGAUAUGGGGGUCACCCCAUAACCCCCAUUAACUCACUGAGCUCGUUCUCGAUCUCCACCGUGAGGUUGUUGGCGUCCACAAUGACCCGAUAUUCGGGGGCUGCCUCCACCGGCCCCAAAACUGCACCCGCGUGUGGCUGCCAGGGCGAUGAAAACUGGCUCGAUCUGCUGCAUGAUGGCGCAAACUGGGGGGGGGGGGCAUUACAAAUGGGGGGGGGCUAUGGGGUCCCACGACCCCCCCCCAUAUCAACAUCCCCCCCCCAUAGCAACCCUGGACACCGCAUUA